UUAUUUUUUAUUUAUUAAUUAAUUUUUUUUUUUAUUUAAAUUAUUAAAAGUAAUUAUUAAAUGAUUUGUUUAAGUAUUUUAUAAAGAAAAAAUAAUUUUAAUUAUAGUUAAAUAGUAUUGUGAAAGAAAAUUGAAAUAAUUUGAAAAAUUAAUAUUUUAAAAGAAAAUUUAAUUUAUUGUACCUUGUGUAUCAGGGUUUAUUUAAUAAAAAUUAUUUAUUAUAAUUUUCUCGAUUUUAAAAGAGUUAAUAUAUUAUGAAAGUUAAUGUAAUAAAAUUAUUUUGUAUAAUAUAUUAGAAAUGAAAUGUUAUUCGUUUUUAAAGGUAUCUAGUUCUUUAAGAAAUAAAUUUAAUUUAGAAAUUUUAUAUUAUUUAAUUAAGUGUAUUAGUUAAAUAAUUAUUUUAUUUUAAUAUUUUGUGGGAUAAGCUAUGAAAUAAAUUAUUAAAAAUUAUUAGGUAAUUUAAGAAAUAUAAGCUUAGAAAUAGUUAUUAUUAAUAAAAGUGUUAUAAUUUAUUUUAUUAUAUUAAUUAUUUAUUAAAUUUUAAUUAUGUAUUAAAGUAUUUAUUUUAAUUAUAAAAAUAAAAAAAUAAUGAUAAAAUUAGUAUAUUAUAUUGUAUAAAUAAUAAUAAUUGAAAAGUUUUUAUAAAGAACUCGGCAAAAAUAAUGUUCGCCUGUUUAACAAAAACAUGUCUUUUUGAAUUUUUUUUUAAGUCUAACCUGCCCACUGAAUUAUUUAAAUGGCCGCAGUAUACUAACUGUGCAAAGGUAGCAUAAUCAUUAGUCUUUUAAUUGAAGGCUGGUAUGAAUGGUUGGACGAGAUAUUAACUGUUUCAUAUAAAUUUAUAAUAGAAUUUUAUUUUUUAGUUAAAAAGCUAAAAUUUAAUUAAAAGACGAGAAGACCCUAUAAAUCUUUAUAUAUAUGAAUUAUUGUAAUUUUGUGGAUUUUUUUUGUUAUAAUAAUUAAUUAUAUUUUAUUGGGGUGAUAUUAAAAUUUAAUAAACUUUUAAUUUUUUUUGUCAUUAAUUUAUGAAUAAUUGAUCCGUUAAUAGUGAUUAAAAAAAUAAGUUACUUUAGGGAUAACAGCGUAAUUUUUUUGGAGAGUUCAUAUCGAUAAAAAAGAUUGCGACCUCGAUGUUGGAUUAAGAUAUAAUUUUAGGUGUAGCCGCUUAAAUUUUAAGUCUGUUCGACUUUUAAAUUCUUACAUGAUCUGAGUUCAAACCGGCGUAAGCCAGGUUGGUUUCUAUCUUUAAUAAAUAUAAAUAUUUCAGUACGAAAGGACCUAAUAUUUAAUAAAUAAUUAUUAAAAAAUUGAAUAUAAUUAAUAUAU
rnacentral:rRNA from 1 species